rnacentral:lncRNA from 1 species
GCUAGCAAUCAGGAAGACUCUGUGGGUGUGGGACCCUCCGAGCCAGGUGCGGGAUGUAAUCUCGUGGUGCGCCGUUUUUUAAGCCCGUCGGAAAAGCGCAGUAUUCGGGUGGGAGUGACCCGAUUUUCCAGUGAGAUGAACCCGGUACCUCAGAUGGAAAUGCAGAAAUCACUGUCUUCUGCGUCGCUCACGCUGGGAGCUGUAUACCGGAGCUGUUCCUAUUCGGCCAUCUUGGCUCCCAAGAUAUAAGGAAGUUUCUAGCAUUUGAAGAGAGAUGCAGAAGAACCCAUUCAUUAUUGCAUCCAGCACCCAGAAAAGUUCCUAACACAUACACCGAGAGUGGUCAGCCAGAUGGGCGGGAACCAGUAUGCUGUUUCUGCUAUCCAGUACACCUUACCAAGAUUUCACAGAACCUCUGACUAAUACAGCAAUAUUGAUUUUAUCUAAAGGGAAUUACUUUUAAGAAAAUUUUCUCCUAAAUCGCCCUGGAAGAUGCUCUCUUGUUUAACCAAAUAGUGUUGAUUAAAAGGUUGAAAUGAA